rnacentral:lncRNA from 1 species
GUUGUCCAAAGUCAUUCCGGCUCCAAAGGGCGAAUUCUCUUUUCGCCAUCUCUCCCAGCCCUGGAACAGCUUAGGGUCCCUCUCGAAGAGCACAGCGCCAGCCCAGACCCCAUACACCCACCGUCCCUGGCACCCGAACGCGCUGCGAGCCCCGGGCCUCCCACAGGAGCGGAGACGCGGGUCCCUGCGCCUCACGCCGGAACGGACCCGUCAGAGCCGCCGAGCCCCGCACCUGGAAGCUGGGAGGCCGCGAGGACGGAGAAUCGAGGCGGAGACCCAGCCCAGCGCCCGCGCAGCUCGGUGCCCUCCCGCCAGUGCCCGCACUCGGGUCACACCGCUUGCUCUCGGGAGAAGCCCCAAGGCUCGCGGUGCACCGAGAGGCGCCCGGGCUGGAGCGCCCCGGCCGUGUUGGCCACGGAGUUCUUCAGCUGCUUGAUGACCACGAAGAGCAGGAGGAAAAGUAAGAAGAGCAGGAAGAAGAAGAGCGCCAGGUAGAGCAGCAAGUUGAGUUCCCACUCCAUGCUGGAGGCGCCGGCGCUCGCUGGCCCUGCGCGCUCGGCGCGGGCUGCAGCUGGAGGGCGAGCGCGCCGCCCGCACACCCACCUCCCGCACUCCCGCCCCUCGCGAGGGCGUCCCGCUAUGGGCGCCGACUCCGGGGUCCGUGCUUUGCCUCCCCCGGCUCCGAGGAAACGCGCCAAGGAGCUGAGGAAAUCCGGCGCAGACUCUCCCAGCUGGCACCAAAGCCUUCCGCUUCGCCGAGAUCCUCUCAGGUGCUCUUGAGGACGCGAGCGACUUCCCUAGGAGCGAACUUCCGCGGGCACGGACGCCAGAAGAGGUAACAGCUCAGUCUUCCAGGGGAGGUCGGGACUGGUGUUUUGUAAAUGAUUUAAAAGUUCCACCCCCAACAUCCAGUAGGGUCCCUAGCUCCGCUGCGUUCCCAAUUAAUUUAUUUCGUUAUAUCCCUCCGUUCCUGCUUUCCGAAAGGACAGGGGAUGUCAUGGCCCAGAGACCCAAAAGAAUGAAAGGUGGCAGUGAAGAUGGGGUCUGAAAGGCUAUGAGAUGAUUUCGUGCUAUGAGGUGUCUGAGUGAAUUCCAGUUCGAGCUGUCUUGCUCUUCAGAGUAGCAGAUACAUUCAGUGUUGAGUGUACUUUUCUAUGGACAACAGGUCACUUGGAAACGCAUUAAGAAUACAAUGUAUUUCAGAAGUUAUAUAGCACAAAGAUUUCAAAUAUUGGCCUCAAAUUCAGUUUAUUUGGUGAAAAGAGGAAAACAAGUUUACUCAAAGUGUUUCUUGAGUCCCUAAAGCCUUUCUGUAUCUGGUUGACGUGACCCAAAGCCCAUAUCGCGCAGCUUUAAAAGCUGUUCAGUGUAUCUAUUACUGCAGAACAAAUUACCCCCAAAUUUAGUGGCUUCAAACAGCAUAAACAUUGAUCAUCUCUCACAGUUUCUGUGGGUCCGAAAUGUGGGAGCACUGGCUGGGUGAUUCUGGUGUCGGGUUACUCAUGAGGCUCCGUUCAGAUGUCAGCCAGGUCUGCCUUCAGCUGAAUGCUUGUGUAGAGGUGGAGGAUCCACUUCCAGGGUGGCUCACUCACUGCUUGCCAGGUAGGGCUGGUUGUUGGUGGGAGGCCUCAGUUCCCUUCCAUGGGUGCUUCCAAUACAGCUGCGGGAUUCCCCCAGAACAAGUGAUGAAAGAAAACAAAGCAGAGGCUGCAGUGCUCUUUACCGCCAGCUUCAGAAGUCACGUGCCAUCAGAUCUGUAAUAUCCUACUGGUCACACAGGUCAGCCCUAUUCAGGGUAGGAGUCCAAGGACACGAACGCCAAGGAGUAAGGAUCACUGGGGCUCAUCUUAGAGUCGGCUAUGACAGCUGUUAAUACAGCCAGCUAUCAUUGCCCAUUUGUAGGCCUAACUUUAUUUUAUUCUUUAUUUGUGAAGAUGCAGAAUUGCCUCCUGGACUGAAUUCUGGGGAUGAGGGCUGACAACAUCCCAGAUUGUAAUAAGUGGCUGCUCCAGGGAUGACAGGGGUUCAAAGAGACAGGGUGGUAUGAAAACAGUCUGUGAACUGCAAGUCUCAUGGACCCGAUUCUAGUGUCAGCUCUGUCAGUGGUCACUUUUGCUCAGUGACUCUCAGUCCCCUCAUCUGUAACAUGCCUUGCUUAUCUUUCCCUUGGAUUUGUUGUGAGGCUCAAAAAUGAGAAAAUGUUAAAUAAAAAUGUGUUUUGCUAAAAAAAAAAAAAAAAAA